rnacentral:rRNA from 1 species
CCUACGGGAGGCAGCAGUGGGGAAUCUUGCGCAAUGGGCGAAAGCCUGACGCAGCAACGCCGCGUGCGGGAAGAAGGCCUUCGGGUUGUAAACCGCUUUCAGCAGGAACGAAAAUGACGGUACCCGCAGAAGAAGGUGCGGCCAACUAUGUGCCAGCAGCCGCGGUGAUACAUAGGCACCAAGCGUUGUCCGGAUUUAUUGGGCGUAAAGAGCUCGUAGGCGGUUCAGUCAGUCGGGUGUGAAAACUCUGGGCUUAACCCAGAGCCUGCACCCGAUACUGCUGUGACUAGAGUUCGGUAGGGGAGCGGGGAAUUCCUGGUGUAGCGGUGAAAUGCGCAGAUAUCAGGAGGAACACCGAUGGCGAAGGCACCGCUCUGGGCCGAAACUGACGCUGAGGAGCGAAAGCAUGGGUAGCAAACAGGAUUAGAUACCCUGGUAGUCCAUGCCGUAAACGUUGGGCACUAGGUGUGGGUUCCAAUCAACGGAAUCCGCGCCGUCGCUAACGCAUUAAGUGCCCGCCUGGGGAGUACGGUCGCAAGCGAAACUCAAAGGAAUUGACGG